rnacentral:lncRNA from 1 species
CCUAUGAGCAGAACCCCCCAGGCUGAGGAGGGGGCGGCCAUCUGCCUCGACAGGUUGGACUGAAUGAAAGGUAAGGAGAGAAGAGACAGCAAAAUUCAAAACUAACAAUGUAACAACAAUGUAUGGUUCUGAUUAGGGUUAGGAUGCUAGUAAGAGUCAGUCAUUUACAUAUUAAAGUAGGUGCUCUAACUUUUUUAAAUAAAACUAAAAAUAAAGAAUGUUACAGGUUUUUAGGUUUCCAGGGUGUUUUACGCACUUUAUAGACCUGGAUGAAGUCGCUGAUGCGUUAGAUCCCAAGAGUUGGGAGCAGAUUUGGGGUGGAGAGUAAAAGUCCGUUCCCUGGAUGUGUAUGUUUCUUAUUGCGUUAACCUUCAGCCCAACAAGUCCCGUUUUACGUUUCUUUACUCGACCCUGGUCAGAACCCACCUCCCCAUAAGCUUUGCGCCUACGUUCGAGUUUUGGAAACUAACGCGGAGCCACCGCGGACCCGCCCACUUUAAGGCUGAGGCCAGGAAGUUGCGGUUGCCUGGUCGGGUAGGAAAAACAGACCGUGCAAGAUGUCCGUCGCAGGAUUUAAGAAGCAGUUUUACAAGGCGAGCCAGGUAAACGCGACUUGUUUUUACAUUAGCCUGUAGCAGCUAGCUAACGCUUAGCCUCAAUGGUCGCUACUUUUAUCGUGUCAGCUAGAAACUGUGUCACCUCAGUAGAAAUAGCAGUUAGUUUAGUUUAGUGCUGUUAUGGUAAAGUUUGAACGUGUUUAAAACAAGAAUGUCUACACUGUUAAAAAACUCGACAGAUUGUUCUGAGCAGGUAACUUCCAACUUCCAACCCUCAAGUUAAAAUGCCUUCAUAUUUUAACAUUAAGUUGGUUGACGCCAGUAAUUAUUUUAUGAUUUAUAACUGACUUAAUAAUGUUAAGUAAAUUAAGUUGGAUGCUGAUAUUUGUCGUUAGUUUCCUAGUUGCUGUAACGUAAAUUGAAAUAAAUGUUCACUGAACAUUACUUCCUAUGGAGGU